rnacentral:rRNA from 1 species
UACGUAGGUCGCAAGCGUUGUCCGGAUUUACUGGGCGUAAAGAGCGCGCAGGCGGCUGGUCAAGUCCGAUGUGAAAUCUCCCGGCUCAACUGGGAAACUGCAUCGGAAACUGAUCGGCUUGAAGAUGGGAGAGGGUAGUGGAAUUCCCGGUGUAGUGGUGAAAUGCGUAGAUAUAUGGAGGAAUACCAGUGGCGAAGGCGGCCUCCUGGCUCGAUACUGACGCUGAGGUGCGAAAGCGUGGGGAUCAAACAGG